ACACAUAUGCACGCACACACACACAGAGCUCUUGAAGAGAUGCAUGUCAAGGAUGUCAUCUUUAUUAAAAAGUCCCCUGCUAAUCCUGAAUAUCAGAUUGAAAAUGUUGGCAGAGUUGCUUCCACGGCUGACAUCUAAGACAAAUAUAGCUCUGUGACUGGACUAAGCUGAAUGAAUCCAGCCCUGAAGAAGGAGGAAUCAGGAAGAAUCUGAGUUUAAUAUUCACAUGGUAAAGAAACAGAAUAUGAUACCAGACUCAAAAGGCUGCAGGCAGGACCAUGCUGAUCUUACCCCUGCUCCACAGCUUCUGAUUUAAUUAAAACAAGACAGAUGGAGUGCAGUGUGUUAGUCUGUGUUCACCUGAGUUUCCUUUGUCAUCUCAGAAAAGUGAAGGAAGAAAGAGAGAGUGUCUGGAAACCAACAUUAAACAUUACGGUCAAAAUCUUUCGGAAUAAAGAUGAAGAUGACUCAAUGGUAGAAGCUUCCUGGUGUCUUGUCUACCACUUCUUGAGGUUCAAAGUGAAGGUUUGUCAGUCCAAGAUGGUGUCACGUAGCUUGCUACUCUGGACUUCAGGAGAGCUGACUUUGAACUCUACAGGGAGCUGCUUGGCAGGAUGACAUGGGAGAAAGCCCUGGCAGGAGGAAGGGUCCAAGAAAGCUGGUCAGUACUCAAGGACCUUUUCCUCCAAACCCAGAAGCAGUGCAUCCUGAGAAAGAAGAAGUUUCCUCAACAGGCCUCAAGUAUUGUGCAGAGAGGAAUUACGAGGCUACCUCUGCAGCUCUUCCCAAGCACUAUGAGGAAGGGGAUACCACCAUGCCUUUUCUUGACCUAUGGGUGUUACAUUUUAUGUGAUGCAUUUCUUUCUCAAGUGAUAAAAGACAACCAUAGAAUCACAGAAUCAUAAUCACCAAGGUUGGAAAAGACCUCCAAGAUCAUCCAGUCCAACCGUCCAUCUACCUUCACUAUUUCCCACUAAACCACGUCCCUUGGUACAACAGCUGAAUGUUUCUUGAAGACCUCCAGGGACGGUCAUUCAACCACAUCCCUGAGCUGAUGGUGCAAGUAUCUUCAUCUUGGUAUGAACUGACAAAGAUUGCAGAAGACCAAGUUUUUACAUUACCUCAUGACCAAACAACUUCUAAAAAUAUUAAAAUUCUCAUUGUCUAGUUCCAAAAAAUUUGCAAAGUUUUUAACAUUCUUAAACAACAACAACAAAAUGGAAAAGCAUGUUAUUAAAGUACAGGAAAAGGUAUAAAAUAUGUUUCACUGGAAUGUAUCAUUAUUUGAUUGAAAAUAAAUAUGUCAUAAAGAUU
ensembl:lncRNA